AUGAACGCUGGCGGUAGGCUAACACAUGCAAGUCGAACGGCAGCACAGGAGAGCUUGCUCUCUGGUUGGCGAGUGCCGGACGGUUGAGGAAUGCAUCGGAAUCUACUCUUUCGUGGGGGAUAACGUAGGGAAACUUACGCUAAUACCGCAUACGACUUACGGGUGAAAGCCGGGGACCUUCGGGCCUGGCGCGAAAGAAUGAGCCGAUGCCCGAUUAGCUAGUUGGCGGGGUAAGAGCCCACCAAGGCGACGAUCGGUAGCUGGUCUGAGAGGAUGAUCAGCCACACUGGAACUGAGACACGGUCCAGACUCCUACGGGAGGCAGCAGUGGGGAAUAUUGGACAAUGGGCGCAAGCCUGAUCCAGCCAUACCGCGUGGGUGAAGAAGGCCUUCGGGUUGUAAAGCCCUUUUGUUGGGAAAGAAAAGCAGUCGGUUAAUACCCGAUUGUUCUGACGGUACCCAAAGAAUAAGCACCGUAAUUCC
rnacentral:rRNA from 1 species